AGUGUAAGCCCCUCUUCCCAUCUUCUCGACCGAGGGGGGGAGCGCGAGUCCAUGGCAGAAGAAGCCUCCUACCCCCCCCCCCCCCCCCCCCCUCCCCUCCCUCCCCCGCGUCUCGUCUCUCGUCUCUACCCCGUUCUCUCUCAGCUCUCUCUCUCUCUCUCCUGCAUCUGAGCGUCGUCGGGUUCCUAAAUCCAACCUCCCUCCAUCUACAGAUCCACAAGCUCAUGUUGUUCCCCCUCUGGCGGCGGCGGCGGCGGCGGCGGCAGCGCUAGGGUUCAGCGUCCUUGGAGGAGCCUGUUCCAAUGCUUGCAGGCUGUGGACUAGGCGCAGAGGGAGCGGGACCAAUGCCGCCGGUGGUGGACCGUACAGGGACACCCUGCCUCCAGGCAGCCUUGUCCGCCGUGUUGUGCCCGCGCGAGCAGAUGAGGUCCUACCUCGCGUGCUUGCCGAUGCAGCACCUGCUCAGCCGCUGGACGUCCUCGCUGCUCAGGGUUUGGGCCAUGGAAGCUGCUGCUGGGCUACGGGGCUAGGGGGUUAGCCAAAAUGUUGGUCUCAAAAUCACAGAUAGGUGCUCCAAACUAAAUCCCCCACCCCUCUACUACCUUAGCCCUACGAAUUGGGGUUCAGAUAGUACUAAAUUUGUGGUGCGGCAAGGCCACGCCCUUUUGUGCUCUUGCCAAUGUUACCAGUUAUAAGACUUUGUGCAUACGAAUCUGACUUGAAUUAUUUGCCAAUUAAAUUACAGCAGAUGCUGUUACAGUGCUGCCGGUGGUUAAUAAACAUGGUGUUGACGCCAAGCACUUUUUCUUUCUUAGAUUCAGCUAGUAGGCGAAUGAACGAAAGUUCUCCAUGGGCGCUAGUGCUAUCUUGUUUGUUUUGUCAACUGAGGUAGUAAUGUAGUAUGCAUUUGAGAUCAGCUCGGCAAUACAAGGAAGAGAGAAGUCAUAUAAGAAAAAGGGUGUAGCCUAGGGUGUGCUAAUGAAUAGAUAUGAAAGGAAAUGUAGCCUAGGGUGUGCUAAUGAAUAGAAUGCAACUGCAGGUUUUGUUAUAUGUACUUAAGCGAUUGCUCUGUCUCAUGAAUGUCCAUAGCAUGUUCUUCUCUGCUAAGUUUGUUGUUCACAAAGUUAAGCCAUUUGGCCCAGGGGAUAUUAAUUACCACCAUUCAAUCACUAGCAUUCCCUGGAAUAUUAAUUAGUUGAGGGGAGCACUGAAAUAGAGACAUUAAGGGAUUUUGUUUUGUUACUUUUAGUUCAGCUACUACUAGCUUAGUAAAUUUUUGAUAGAAAUUCAGGGAUUGUAGUUUUUUAUUACUUUGAGUGAUUCUGUCCCUAUGCAAAGUAAUUCCGUUACUGCAUGGUGCUUCAUUCUGAAUGAUUAAUGGUUAGAAGAAUCUUAAGUGAUCAGAAUGAUUAAACUUAUGUCAUCCUGCAUAUAACUUGCUGUUUUUUUGCAACUGCAGUACCUUUAUAGAAUGGAUAAAUACAUGCUUCCUGUUUUAACAAUGCUGCUCCUUUCUUGUGAUAACUUGUGCAGGAUUGGUUUGGCACAGACUUUGUAAUUGCUGAAGCUUUCAAUUUCGAUAUUGUUUCAUUUGUUAAGUUUGCAGAAGUAAUUAAACAUUUGAAAAUCUACAUAGCUUCAGGGAGUCAUGGCAGGUACCAUGGGUACAAUUAUAUACUAUUAUUUUAUGCUUUGUUGGAAAAGCCAUAUUUGUAUUAUUAAACUGAUAACGGGUGUUCCUAGAACUGUUCUGGAUGCUUAGCCACUAGCAACAGUCCACAACUAUUCUUAGUUAAUCUUAGCUAUUCUUUUGUAAUCAACAGGUCUCUGGUGUAGCUUGAUUCCAUAUUCCAUAAUAAAUAGUACAAGAUCUGUUAUGUAAAUGAAUUGUCACUUGUAAUGAUUGAUUCGAAACUUGUACAGCCAAAUCCAGCUAAGACUCGUUUAGGCUUGAAAAAUGCAUGAUAGAAUAGUUCAUUUUGGACCUAAGUUGGAGAUGUAGACCACUUGGUCAACUUACUACUACUUUUUUAUGAGGUACCAUACGGAUCUACAGUCUUUGAGUUUGUUAUGCGUGAUUUCUUUGCAGGAAUGGUACUUAUAACCAAAGCAAAUACUGUAUCUUAGCAUGUGCACUUGCAUGACUAGAAGUUACAAGCAUAUGUAUAUCUGAUAUUUGGUUAAUGGUAGUGUUAUGGUACUUAUCGUUGUUGCCUUUCUUACCAGUUAAUUACAGAAAAAAGCAAUGGUCGACCACGAACGGAUGCACACUGUUUGGAACACUUGCUGUUUCUUUUCACAAGCUUGAUGAGUGGAAUCAGAGAGGUAGGGUUCAGCAGCACUUCGAGAGGAAAUGGAUGACCAGCAGAGUGAGCUUGAAGACUUAAAGCUAAAGUUCCAGGAAUCUGAAGCAGCAAGGGAGAAUCAAAGGGGAGAGAUCGAAAGUUUGAAGAAGCAAGGAGAGAAAGCAAUGCUAUGGAGUCCAGAGAGUUGUUUUGGCUUUUCAGUGAACAUGUUAUGGAGUUACUUGUCUUUUUUGUUUUGACUUGACAAGUGAUGUUGGGCUGUGAUACGCAUAUGAAUCUGGUGGUUUUUGGACAAGUGAUGACAAGCUGUACUAAAUAUUAUGUGAAGUGACCCGUUGUUUUGAAGGAAUGUGUUGUUUUGAAGUGAUCUCA